rnacentral:rRNA from 1 species
GAUGAACGCUGGCGGUGUGCCUAAUACAUGCAAGUCGAGCGAACAGACGAGGAGCUUACUCCUCUGACGUUAGCGGCGGACGGGUGAGUAACACGUGGAUAACCUACCUAUAAGACUGGGAUAACUUCGGGAAACCGGAGCUAAUACCGGAUAACAUGUUGAACCGCAUGGUUCAACAGUGAAAGACGGUCUUGCUGUCACUUAUAGAUGGAUCCGCGUCGCAUUAGCUAGUUGGUAAGGUAACGGCUUACCAAGGCAACGAUGCGUAGCCGACCUGAGAGGGUGAUCGGCCACACUGGAACUGAGACACGGUCCAGACUCCUACGGGAGGCAGCAGUAGGGAAUCUUCCGCAAUGGGCGAAAGCCUGACGGAGCAACGCCGCGUGAGUGAAGAAGGUCUUCGGAUCGUAAAACUCUGUUAUUAGGGAAGAACAAAUGUGUAAGUAACGAUGCACGUCUUGACGGUACCUAAUCAGAAAGCCACGGCUAACUACGU